rnacentral:rRNA from 1 species
GACGAACGCUGGCGGCGUGCUUAACACAUGCAAGUCGAGCGGAGAGGCCCUUUCGGGGGUACUCGAGCGGCGAACGGGUGAGUAACACGUGAGUAAUCUGCCCUUCACUUGGGGAUAACCUCCGGAAACGGUGGCUAAUACCCGAUACGACCAUUCCUCGCAUGAGGUGGUGGUGGAAAGUUUUUCGGUGGGGGAUGUGCUCGCGGCCUAUCAGCUUGUUGGUGGGGUAAUGGCCUACCAAGGCUUCGACGGGUAGCCGGCCUGAGAGGGUGACCGGCCACACUGGGACUGAGACACGGCCCAGACUCCUACGGGAGGCAGCAGUGGGGAAUAUUGGACAAUGGGCGGAAGCCUGAUCCAGCAACGCCGCGUGAGGGAUGACGGCCUUCGGGUUGUAAACCUCUUUCACCUGUGACGAAGCGAAAGUGACGGUAGCAGGAGAAGAAGCACCGGCCAACUACGUG